UCUUUCCCACCUCUUACCCCAGCCAUGUAAUUUGCACAUCGUUUUAUAUUUUCUAUUGGGAAAUCACAAAGCAUCUAAAAGGCAAGCAGUGGUUCUCAAGCUGCAGCCAAAGGAUCAGCUUGUUUUACUCAAGUGAAACCAGAACCCAGGCUGGAGCCUCGCAGAGAGGAGGGAUUUGGAAAAUACUCCUUGAGUGGAAUUCAGUGAUUUGUUUAAGAAACACCAGAGGCUUUCGCACAAUCCCUUUUUCCUGAAGCCAACUCUGCUGAGGAUGUGAUGUGGAUACGGAUGUCCGGGAAGCUGGUGUCGGUGGCGGGCUGUGUUCUCAGGCCCAGGGACGCUGUGGCAGGGACUGGAUGGGAAUGCAGCAGGGCCGUGUAUUAGCUGUGCAGCCUUGGGAAAAGUACUUCAUUGUUCUGAGCCUCAUUUUCUUAUUUGUCUGUUCUGAUUGCCUUUCAGUGACA
rnacentral:lncRNA from 10 species